rnacentral:rRNA from 1 species
CCUACGGGUGGCAGCAGUAGGGAAUCUUCCACAAUGGGCGAAAGCCUGAUGGAGCAACGCCGCGUGGGUGAAGAAGGUCUUCGGAUCGUAAAACCCUGUUGGUAGAGAAGAAAGUGCGUGAGAGUAACUGUUCACGUUUCGACGGUAUCUAACCAGAAAGCCACGGCUAACUACGUGCCAGCAGCCGCGGUAAUACGUAGGUGGCAAGCGUUAUCCGGAUGUAUUGGGCGUAAAGGGAGCGCAGGCGGUCUUUUAAGUCUGAUGUGAAAGCCUUCGGCUUAACCGGGGUAGUGCAUUGGAAACUGUGAGACUUGAGGGUAGAAGAGGAAGGUGGAAGUCCAUGUGUAGCGGUGAAAUGCGUAGAUAUAUGGAAGAACACCAGUGGCGAAGGCGGCUCUCUGGUCUGUAACUGACGCUGAGGUUCGAAAGCGUGGGUAGCAAACAGGAUUAGAUACCCGGGUAGUC